rnacentral:rRNA from 1 species
CAGUCGCCGCGGGAAAACGAAGGGGGCUAGCGUUGCUCGGAAUGACUGGGCGUAAAAGGCGCGUAGGCGGAUUGUUUAGUUAGGCGUGAAAUCCCUGGGCUUAACCUGGGGACUGCGCUUAAUACAGGCAGUCUAGAGUGAGGAAGAGGGUUGCGGAAUUCCCAGUGUAGAGGUGAAAUUCGAAGAUAUUGGGAAGAACACCGGUGGCGAAGGCGGCAACCUGGUCCUUGACUGACGCUGAGGCGCGAAAGCGUGGGGAGCAAACACGAUUAGAUACCCCAGUAGUCCCUGUCUCUUAUAA